CGUCUAGUCAUGCCGAAAUAAGGCGAAACCGCGAAUGGCUCAUUAAAUCAGUUAUGGUUCCUUAGAUCGUUUCUUCCUACUUGGAUAACUGUGGCAAUUCUAGAGCUAAUACAUGCAGUGAGCCUGGAGCCCUUUGGGUAACGGGUGCUUUUAUUAGACCAAGAUCGAUCGGGUUUCGGCCCGUAUUGUGUGGUGACUCUGGAUAACUUUGUGCUGAUCGCAUGGCCACGAGCCGGCGACGUUUCUUUCAAGUGUCUGCCUUAUCAACUUUCGAUGGUAGGUUACUUGCUUACCAUGGUUGUUACGGGUAACGGAGAAUCAGGGUUCGAUUCCGGAGAGGGAGCCUGAGAAACGGCUACCACRUCCAAGGAAGGCAGCAGGCGCGCAAAUUACCCACUCCCGGCACGGGGAGGUAGUGACGAAAAAUAACAAUACGGGACUCUUUUGAGGCCCCGUAAUUGAAAUGAGUACACUCUAAAUCCUUUAACGAGGAUCAAUUGGAGGGCAAGUCUGUCCCCACCAGCC
rnacentral:rRNA from 1 species